rnacentral:lncRNA from 1 species
UUUAACGAGUAGACCGAUAGUAUAAAAAUGGAAGCAGAUUUCAGAUCUCAUUAUCUUCAAUCGGGUAUUUUCAAAUUGGAUUGAAAAUUUUCAAGUAUGUCGCCUCGUAAAUUGAUGUUUUUGAUUUUGAUGCUGUGCGUCUUCACUACUAGUGCUUACGCAGCUUGUUGUGGUGGAGCAGACAGAAGUGACGAAUACAGUAAUGAGGAUGAUACAAGUGACGAAGGCAGAAAUGGUGGAGGCAACAAAAGAAUAGAAGGUGGUCUGCUCAGCGUACCAAUAUUCAGUGGAAUUUCUCAAAAUGGAAAUUGAUAUUGGAUGUGCAUUAACAACCGAUUGUUGCAAAGUGUUAGAACAUUAAUAGGAUUUUAAAUAAAGUUUAAUUUUCUUUGAA